GAUGAACGCUGGCGGCGUGCCUAAUACAUGCAAGUCGAGCGAACGGACGAGAAGCUUGCUUCUCUGAUGUUAGCGGCGGACGGGUGAGUAACACGUGGAUAACCUACCUAUAAGACUGGGAUAACUUCGGGAAACCGGAGCUAAUGCCGGAUAAUAUUUUGAACCGCAUGGUUCAAAAGUGAAAGACGGUCUUGCUGUCACUUAUAGAUGGAUCCGCGCUGCAUUAGCUAGUUGGUAAGGUAACGGCUUACCAAGGCAACGAUGCAUAGACGACCUGAGAGGGUGAUCGGCCACACUGGAACUGAGACACGGUCCAGACUCCUACGGGAGGCAGCAGUAGAGAAUCUUCCGCAAUGGGCGAAAGCCUGACGGAGCAACGCCGCGUGAGUGAUGAAGGUCUUCGGAUCGUAAAACUCUGUUAUUAGGGAAGAACAUAUGUGUAAGUAACUGUGCACAUCUUGACGGUACCUAAUCAGAAAGCCACGGCUAACUACGUG
rnacentral:rRNA from 1 species